rnacentral:rRNA from 1 species
CUCCAGACUCCUACGGGAGGCAGCAGUAGGGAAUAUUGCUCAAUGGGGGAAACCCUGAUGCAGCAACGCCGCGUGAGUGAAGAAGUAUUUCGGUAUGUAAAGCUCUAUCAGCAGGGAAGAAGAUGACGGUACCUGAUUAAGAAGCCCCGGCUAACUACGUGCCAGCAGCCGCGGUAAUACGUAGGGGGCAAGCGUUAUCCGGAUUUACUGGGUGUAAAGGGGGCGCAGACGGCGAUGCAAGCCAGGAGUGAAAGCCCGGGGCCCAACCCCGGGACUGCUCUUGGAACUGCGUGGCUGGAGUGCAGGAGGGGCAGGCGGAAUUCCUGGUGUAGCGGUGAAAUGCGUAGAUAUCAGGAGGAACACCGGUGGCGAAGGCGGCCUGCUGGACUGCAACUGACGUUGAGGCCCGAAAGCGUGGGGAGCAAACAGGAUUAGAUACCCCAGUAU